CAAUGAAGGAGGACAAGUCUAAGGUUGCUCCCAAACUUACAACAAGCAUUUGGAACUAUAUUCUGUAUUUUCUACCUGACAUUAUCCCUCCUGCUGCAUGGAACAAUGUAUGACUGACACCUUAAAUCUGGAUUGCCCACUCAUGAGGCGGACUAUAGAAGCAGACUUGAAUGGUGAAAUCCUCUGGGGUGGCACCACCGUGUGUGCCCACCCACCUCGGUGACGGUGUCUUCCAGCGAGGACUCAUGAGUGCUGCUUCAUGACCCUGCUGGACAACAGGAAGAAAUGAAUGCAUUGCAGCUUCUCUGACAUUGCAGCAUCCGAGUCCUUGAAGAAGAAGCACCAGUUGAGUUUCUGCCUGUCACACACAAGCCCUGGCCUGGGUGGGUAGUAACAGCUUGGUGCAACAGCCUGCAGCUUCAGUUCCAGGCAGCUGGGGAAUAGACACUCUCACUCUUUCUCAUCAUCCCAUCGCUUGUACUUAAACAUCUUUAUUAAUGGCUUGAAGGAGGUGAGUAAACAGCACGUGAUGUUCUCAGCACCAGGUAAAGACCAAUAUAUUUUACUUCCAGCUGUCUAUCGGCUACAUAUUAUAGAUGGAAGUUGCAGACCAAGGGAAUCUGUAAAUCACCCAGGAGAGGCAGUUUCAGGAGGAGAUGAUCACACCAGGGGCAGAUUUUGGCAAUAUGGCACCCUGAGCAAGGGUAAAAAUCCCACCCAAAAAUUAUUUUCACAAUAAUUCCUUUUGGUACAGCUGCUUUUUUAUGGAUCUUCUCUGCAGGUACCCAUAUAAAUAUAGGUAUUGUUGUUAUUACUAAUACU